rnacentral:tRNA from 1 species
GGAUCAUUAGCUCAGUUGGUCAGAGCAACCGGCUCAUAACCGGUCGGUCAUAGGUUCGAGUCCUAUAUGAUCCA